GGGCAGGCUCGGCGCGGCGGAAGACUCUCAACCCCGCCAGGUCCGAAAGGAAGCAACGGUACGGAACUCUCUCCGGGCGCCGCCGAUCUCCUGCCCGGA
rnacentral:SRP_RNA from 1 species